GGAGAGUUGGCAGAGUGGUAAUGCAGCAGCCUGCUAAGCUGUCAUCGGUUUCCGAUGCGCGAGUUCGAUCCUCGCACUCUCCA
rnacentral:tRNA from 1 species